GAUGAACGCUGACAGAAUGCUUAACACAUGCAAGUCUUUGGCGAAGCUGUGCUUGCACAGCCUAGCCAAGGCGGACGGGUGAGUAACGCGUAAGGAACUUGCCCUGCAGUCAGGGAUAACAGACGGAAACGACUGAUAAGACCUGGUAAAGUCAGGCGGACUCAUGUCCAGCCUGAUGAAAAGUGAUGCUGCAGGAGAGCCUUGCGUCCUAUUAGCUUGUUGGUGGGGUAACGGCCCACCAAGGCGAUGAUAGGUAGCCGGCCUGAGAGGGUGGACGGCCACAAGGGGACUGAGAUACGGCCCUUACUCCUACGGGAGGCAGCAGUGGGGAAUAUUGGACAAUGGGGGCAACCCUGAUCCAGCAAUUCUGUGUGCACGAUGAAGGUUUUCGGAUUGUAAAGUGCUUUCAGCAGGGAAGAAAAAAAUGACGGUACCUGCAGAAGAAGCGACGGCUAAAUACGUGC
rnacentral:rRNA from 1 species